CAUUAAAAAGUUAAUUGUGUAAAUCAAUUUAAUUUGAUUUUUAUAUAAUUAUAUUUUAUAUUAUAAAUAAAAUAUUUUUUUGUUUAAUUAUUGAUAUAGAAAUAAUUUAAAUUAUUAUAGAAAAUUAGUAUUGUAAAAGAAUUUAUUUGUAAAUUAUUAAAGAAAAAUUUAUUUUUUGUACCUUGUGUAUCAGGGUUUAUUAAUUAAAUUUUAUAAAUAGUUAAUUUUCUCGAUUUUAAAAGAGUGAUUUAUUUAUAAAUUUUAUUGUAAAAUAAAUAUUUAAAAUAAAUAAAUGGUAAUGAAAUGUUAUUCGUUUUUAAAUAUAUCUAGUUUUUAAAGAAAAAAAUUUAAUUUUAUAAUAAUAUAAGAAUUAUUUAUUAUUUAAAAUGAAUAAUUAUAUAUUUUUAUUAUAUUAAUAGGGAUAAGCUUAUUAAUAAAACAUUAAAAAUUAAUAUUAAUAGUAAUUUAAUUAGUAGGAUUAGAAAUUUUUUUCAGUUAAUUUGUUAUAAUUAAUUAAAGUAAUAAAAAGAUUUAUAUUAGUUUUAAUUUUUUUAUUUAAACAUUAGGUUUAAUAAUAAAAUUUAAGAGAUAAUGAUAGAAUUAGUAUAAAAUUUUGUUAUAAGAUUUUAAAUAUAAAGGUUAUAUAAAGGAAUUCGGCAAAUUUAUUUUUCGCCUGUUUAUUAAAAACAUGUCUUUUAGAUUAUAAUUUAAAGUCUAGCCUGCCCAAUGAUUUAUUAAAUGGCCGCAGUAUUUUGACUGUGCAAAGGUAGCAUAAUCAUUAGUUUUUUAAUUGAAAACUGGAAUGAAAGGUUGGACGAAAAAAUAACUGUCUCUAUAUAAAUGGUUUAUAAUUUUAUUUUUAAGUUAAAAAGCUUAAAUUUUAUUAAAAGACGAGAAGACCCUAUAGAGUUUAAUAAUUAUAUUUAUAAUAAUAAUUUUAUUAUAUUAAAUAUUUUAUAUAAUAUAAUUAUUUAGUUGGGGUGAUUGAAAAAUUUAAUUAACUUUUUUUUUAUAAAAAACAUAAAUUUAUGAUUUUUUGAUCCAUUAUUAAUGAUUAAAAGAUUAAAUUACCUUAGGGAUAACAGCGUAAUUUUUUUGGAGAGUUCUAAUCGAUAGAAAAGUUUGCGACCUCGAUGUUGGAUUAAAAUAAAGAUUUGGUGUAGUAGCUAAAUUAUUAGGUCUGUUCGACCUUUAAAUUUUUACAUGAUCUGAGUUUAGACCGGUGUAAGCCAGGUCGGUUUCUAUCUUUAAUUUAUAUAAAUAUUUUAGUACGAAAGGACCAAGUAUUUAUGAUAGUAAUUUAUAUAUGAAAAUUAUUAAUAUUAUUUUGGCAGAAUAGUGCAUUAAAUUUAGAAUUUAAUUAUAUAAUUU
rnacentral:rRNA from 1 species